CGGACUCAUUCGGCGGCCGUUUCUUCUCAGGAGAGAGAAACAGUGAGUUAAAGACGAUCGAAGAAGACAGACAAGAGAAAGUGAGAGAUUUGAAUUGUAGUGUAAAAAGUAUUAAAAAAAGGCUGCGUAUCCUAAUCAGACCGUACACGUGUCAAAACAAGUGAGUUGCUGACAUUUGUCGGAAGAAGUCACUGGGCGGUGCUUGUCGUUUAGCCUAAAAUGCUUUCAGUAUUUUUAUCCACUAUGUAUAUAUUUUUCCGUGUUCUUACUUAACACGACGACCAAAAGACAAAUAUACCCUUCACACUCUAACAGGUAAAAACCUGGAUGGUUUACUUCUAGAUUU